rnacentral:lncRNA from 1 species
CAAGUAGUAAAUAAUAACUAUAGCUGCAAAAAUAAGUUCAGUGAAUUAAAAGCACAUCUCUGAAUGUCAUAAUAACAAUGACACAAAAUGGAAGUUUCGAGAGCGUUUCAUUCAUUAGUUUUACAGAUUUUAGUACCUGUUGCUGCAGUUCUUGUCUCAAUGGGACAUCUAGUGGUUCUGAUGGCGUACUGCAAUAAGACAAGAAUAAGAAUAAGAAAACCUUUAAUAGUCCCGCAGUGAGGAAAUUGCGGAAGUAGCUUCAAUCUUCUACUGGAGGAAAGUGUUGGCAUGAACUGUGACGUCAUUGCGGGUGUAAGCAUGCGCAAACACCCAUUGUAAGUACAGACACAACAACACGUGAAGACAAAGUUGAAGUGAAAGCACUUCAAGACUCAUUUGACCACGGUGCGGAGUGACUCAAAUGUUUUGAAGGUUGGCUCAACUUUAAGGAUGGAGGAUUUUACACACUCACGAGGUGAGAUCACGAGCAAGAGAAGGAUAAAAUCAGGAGAUACUUUCAGAAAAAAAGAGAAUCAGGAGGAGGUGAUUGUAGAACGAUAGAAAAGGUUGGAAACAAUGUUUACAGAAUCUGCUUUAAGAAAAAAGCAGGUAAGAGACGUACCAAAGGGCUGUAAAAGCAAUGUUUAAUGCAUUCAUGAGUUUAAUGGAAACUAACUAAGCUUCAGUUAUACUUUACUUUUAUUAACGUGUCUUUAGACCAGCAGAGGGUGUUGGAAAGAAAGGACCACACCAUUCCUCUUCCCUGUCGACAGCUGCAUCUGACAGUGAGUCUGAUCAAGUCUUCUGACACUCCUGAAACCACUGAUCAACCAACCAGCAGAGACUCACAGUCGACUGGUCCAGGAGGUUCUGCAGAUUUAAAUGCAACUUUAACUAACCUGACAUCAGACACGCUGGUUCUGGAUGGAUCUGGGACACAGCAAUACUUCCAGGGAACAGGGAGACAAGACAAGGAACUAGUAGAGAGGAUCUAUCAGGUCCUCAUCAAGGAACAGCAACAAGGAAAUUCUCAGAGUUCGGCAACCCAGUUACAAUAGAGCAGCAUCUGCAACAUGUCCAGCACCAGAUGGAAAUGCAACACCACUAGCAGCCCAACUCCCCCAGUCAGCAAAACAGACCUAAAGAUCACAACUGGCAGUUUGGAGGAUGAGCAGGUGAGACUGUUUCCUUUUAGAUGCUUUAUAUUGAGCAGUCAGGUGUCAUUUGGUAAUAACAUUUCACGUUAUAUUUAAAGGUGAAUGUGCUGGUGGCCCCCAUUAUAAACAGGAAGCUUACAUCCACGAAAAUUGGUAAAAGUCUGU